rnacentral:tRNA from 1 species
CUCAGUAGUUAAGUGGAUAACGCGAUGGCGUUUGAAGCGAAAGGUAAUGGGUUCGAGUCCCAUCCAGAGUG